AAAAGAUUGAGUGUCUGUCUCUGUCAGACAUUUUACAUUUUCUGAUGAAUAUUUCAGUUCUCACAGCUGAAAAUUUGCAGUUUGACAUAUUUGUAAUGCCGAAAGAAGUUGAAGUAGCAAGAGAAAUACGAUCACUUUGAAGUUUGCAUUAAAUGGCCAGUGAAGCGCUAUUCCCUUGGACAUAGUUACUAGUUUACUUGAAAGAACAGGCAGCCAGGGAGGGGCUUGCCGAUAAUGAUGAGCAUUUACAGUAGUGAGUAGUCACUGAAUGUGCGUUAUUAACCGCCGCCGUGCAGCGGGCAGACUGCCGACUCCUCCUGACUGGGAUGGAACAACACAGCCUGUGAGAAGACAGAAUGUCGUGCUGGGCUACAUGAGGAGACAGGGAGCAUGUUGGAGCUGACAAGGCCUGUAGGGUCAACAUCAAGCCAAAUCAACUGCACUGGGGAUCAACCACUGCUCCGGCUCUGUCAAAUUAGGGCACCGCGCCAACACACACAAACACACACGCACGGACACAUGGACAUGCACACAAACAGCUGUCAGGCACACACACACACUCGUGACUGCCCACUGCCCCGGAAACAUCAGAGCACAUCUUUGCCCCGAGGGUGUCAUCAGCCAGGCAGUUAAUGGGCAUCUGUGCGUAGUCCAGUGGAAGCCAUCCAGCUAACUGGGCUAACUGGGCCACCUCUGCCAGCCACAGCCAGCUGUGCCACUGGAUGCCCAUUCUGCACUUCAUCAGCAUCAUCGUUAUUUCAGCUUCGCACACUCUGCCCAGACCGGCCACCAUCAUCACUCCUCCACCCAUCCAUUCAUCCAUCCAUCCGUCUCUGUCCCAUCUCUGCCUGCAAUGCAUGAAAUGUGGAAGGUUUUCUGGACUUCUGAGGACGAAAAUGACCUCAUAAAGGAAGAGAUGAGGGAGAUCUAUUGGACAUAUUGGCUGCUCUCAUGUCUGCUCAGCAGUAAAAACACCAAAAACAAAGCCGAUGGUUAUGGAUGGCGAUGUUGUGAAAGUCUGACGGCAUGUCCUUCUGCUUGUUGGCCCAUUUAACACUCGGGUCACUUUUGCACCACCUACAUACAUAUUCAUAGAUUAGUUAGGACACCCGCUCCUUGACAGUUCUCCACGAUCAGGAUUUAAAGGAACAGUUCACCAUAACAUGAAAAUUCUUUCAUUAUUUACUCACACUCAUGCAAAGUAAACGGGAAGUUGGGUGAAGUUUUCGAUGUCUGCAAAACAUUUCAGGACCUUUGCAACAAAACAGCAUCGUUCCCCAAAUAAGUGAAGUAUAUGGGGGCUGUUUAAUAUGUAAAAAAAACAGAGGUGCUGCAUCUCCCCACUGAGGUGUUCAUAACUCACACCUUAGUAUCACAAUGGGCAUUUUUUGUUUGUUUGACUCCUGCUCAACCACUGUUAUAACUCAGUAUAGACUAUGGAUUCAUCUUCUUUUAUUCAUUCAGUUGUUUGACCAAACAGUUGCAAACUACAAUGUCUCUGAGGCAGUGGGCCCAUCAGCGUAUUCCAUAGAUAUCAGUGGAAUUAUGUAUCUCCUUUUCAAAAACACUCUAAUUGGUCCAAUUAAUAUGUGAAGCAUUUAAACCUCCAGAUUAAAAUAAGAGAUUGUUAAUUUUGUUUUUUUUUUGUUUUUUUUUUUUUU